rfam:Glossina brevipalpis unplaced genomic scaffold Scaffold95, whole genome shotgun sequence.
UUUAGUACGUAGACGCCAUGGAUGGUGAAUCGUGCAUGCUAUUGGCACGGGCUAGUAGUAUCUAUGAAGAUUC